rnacentral:rRNA from 1 species
AAAUUGAAGAGUUUGAUCAUGGCUCAGAUUGAACGCUGGCGGCAGGCCUAACACAUGCAAGUCGAACGGUAACAGAGAGCAGCUUGCUGCUUUGCUGACGAGUGGCGGACGGG